UACGUAGGGUGCAAGCGUUGUCCGGAAUUAUUGGGCGUAAAGAGCUCGUAGGCGGCUUGUCGCGUCGGCUGUGAAAACCUAGGGCUCAACCCUGGGCCUGCAGCCGAUACGGGCAAGCUAGAAUUCGGUAGGGGAGACUGGAAUUCCUGGUGUAGCGGUGAAAUGCGCAGAUAUCAGGAGGAACACCGAUGGCGAAGGCAGGUCUCUGGGCCACUACUGACGCUGAGAAGCGAAAGCAUGGGGAGCGAACAGG
rnacentral:rRNA from 1 species